rnacentral:rRNA from 1 species
UGGAAUUGCUAGUAAUGGCAGGUCAGCAUACUGCCGUGAAUACGUUCCCGGGCCUUGUACACACCGCCCGUCACACCAUGAGAGUUGGGAAUACCCGAAGCCUGUGAGCUAACUUAUAGAGGCAGCAGUCGAAGGUAGAAUCAAUGAUUGGGGUGAAGUCGUAACAAGGUACC